CCCGGCGGAAACACUGUUCCGCUGUUUGUUUUCUGGCUUCCAACCAGGGGGAGAACUGGCUUCCGGGCUGGGCCUUGGACGGUCCGGCCGGCCCUCCUCCCAGAGCCCCGCGGCUCGUCUCCACCCACCUCCCCCGCGGCCCGGCCCCACACCUGCCUAGGUCGGUCGUGCCGACGAGCCGAGCCCAGGACAGCUGUCCUCCCGGCAGCAGCAGAAGGUGACUCACAGCUAAUUCCGCCGGCAGCAGGAACCGGCUCAGCCAGCCUGGACUCCGGGCUAAUUCCUCUGGCGAUAGCAUCAAAGCCCAAAGGGAAACAAAAACAAAUCCGGGCCUGAGCAAAGCAGGGCUCUGAUUAUCUUUCCCUCCCGGCCAGGCGGUGCCAGGAGGGCGCGGGCUGCACCCAGGUUUCCUCACCGUUCUUUCCCAGCAUCCUUAGCAUACAGUAGGUGCUCAGCAAACGGCUGCAGGAUGCAGGAUCGUCUUCCGGUUGCUGUCAGCGCCAGGGCAGAGAACAGGCAGAGAACCAGCGCUGUGGGCCCCGCAGGGCAGGGACUCAGGCCGCGGAGGGUGGAAUGUUUGUCCGGGGGGGGGGGUGACUCCGUGGUCCCGCUCACGUGACUGGCAGUGGCUGCGGGCUUUCUGUGGGCUGAGCUGGUCGCUUUCCACAGCACCUCCACGGGGCUUGUCCACGAGGGCGAGUCCGGCAUCCUUACCUGUGGGAGCAGGGUUCCAGGACAAGCAUCCUAAAAAGAUCCAGAGGAGGCCCGGGGAUUUAGUUCAGCAGUUUCGCCGCCUACUGCGCAAGCCCAAGGACCCGAGUUCGAUCCCUGGUACCAAAAAAACCCCAAGACAAACAAAAAAAGAACCAGAGGAAGCUUCACCACCAUUCUGGCUUAUUUUCAGGCAUCACACAGCAUCAUUCCCCCUCUAGUGACAAGCCCACUUGAAUGGAGGACAGUAGACCCCUCAUCUUAAUGGAUAAGUUGGAGUCAGGGUCAUACUGUAAGAAGUGUAUGGAAGAUAGAUGGUACAGUUGCAGCCAUUCUGUGACAUACAUCCUGCCUCAGGUGACAAGUGACUAGGCCCCGGAUAGGACAUUCAGUCUUAUCCAGCCUUACUACAGGUUUUCUAAAGUGUAUCAGGGAUCAGUAAAACUGGACAGAUGGACCUCAGAUUCGGAGCUGGGUCAGAAAUAUCCUUCUUGCAAAAACACCACAUCAGCCCAUGUGGCAGAACAGCAUCCUGGUGACAAAUGAAGCCAGAUGGGUGCCAUAUCCUGGCCAUGAUGUGUUUCAGAUUUUGUAAGAUGAGAUCACUGUAAAGGGCACAUGAGACGGGGGCACUGAGCCACAGCUCACCUCAGAAGCAGCUGGACCAGAAGAUGAACUUGGGCUGUUCGGCGCCUGCCGUGUAAAGAAUGACCAGAAUGGCCCCACCUGCACCUGUACCCCAGGUACAUCAUUCCGGGGUUCCCAUACCCAGCUCCAUUCUGCUGACACCUUCACAGGCCUCGGAGAUCAGGGCAUGGAUGUCUUCAGAGCCCAUUACUCAGCCGGCCACAGAAGGUUCCAGGAGCCUGGUCAGGCCACCUUCCGGAAGCUUCCCUCUUACGAGUUGGACAAGAAGCAAAGGGAGAUCCACAAGUACAACGGGGCCUACAGAGCCACAGACUGCCAGGGUCCUUCAGUUCUUUCCUAAUGGCGCACAGGCGGGGAUGCCCAUGGCCCGGCCUCUGGGGACAAGGGGCAGCCCUGCCACUGUGGCACCCUGCGUGGGGCAGCAGCCAGCUGGGCUUCCGUGGAGCUGCUCCUGGGUGGGGCCUGGCACUCUCCUGCCUCUGUCCCCAGAGCGGGGCCCGGCUCUCAGUAUCUGACCUUCUUGCCCUCUGCCCUGGUGUCCUGUGUCCAGUUUUCCAGUUGGACUAAGAAGUCCAUGCUGGUCACCCAUUGGAGGAAACAUGGCAGUGUUAUGGGCAGUGUCCCCAGCAUCUGUGCUGAGGUCCUAGGACGAGGACCUCGGAGGUGACUUCCUGUGGAGCUGGGUUGCUGGUCACAGGUGUAUGGAGAGGAUGAGCUCAUGCUGCUCAGGAAAGUGACACAGAGAGGGACAGGAGGACCCGGCCACAAGCCAGCGAUGAGGGACAGUGUGAGGGUCCUCACAGCUUCCAGGGGAGCUGCCUCGGACACAGCGGGGAUCCAUUUCUGUUGGGGUGGCUGGCAGCUGAGUGGCACCGACCCAGCUGGGGACACAGCAGGGCAGGACGCCAGCCCUGAAGGCCGCUGCAGCCAGUACGGCCCAGACUGCGCUUGCUCAGUUGUCGACAGCAGGUGGCUACGUCCCUAAGCUGGGUUCGACAUCGACAAGCAGCUCCCGAGCAAGUGUCCCAGGAGGCCUCCUGUGCAUGGCAGUGUGCAGGGGAACGCUGGCUUAGGAGAGCUGAGCAGAGCAGAGUCCAGCACUCGUGUCGGCCUAGGAAGUCAGUGUUCCACUCUGGGCUGCACCAUCCUGAGAGCUCAGUGGAGGCCCUUGGACAGCAGUUGCCCUGGAGGACACAGUCCUAGUUCUCAGGAGGCCUGGGGAGCACCUGGGCGCUCAGGCUCCUCCGCUGGUCCUGCAAGGCACAGAAGGAGGCCUCUGUGCCCAGCGAGUGGGCCGAGAGCCCAGGCUGGGUGUCUGUUUGGAAAGC
ensembl:lncRNA